UGCCAUGGCAAUGAGGGAAGACGACGAACCCCUAACACCUACGGGAAGAUUCUUCCUUCAACCAGAAAUGAAUCAGGUGAUUAGUUGUGUGGUUGGGAUGAAGAAUCCAAUCGAUCUGGAAGAC